UACAGAGGUCUCAAGCGUUGUUCGGAUUCAUUGGGCGUAAAGGGCGCGUAGGCGGCGGGGUAAGUCGGAUGUGAAAUCUCAGAGCUUAACUCUGAAACUGCACUCGAUACUGCUCUGCUAGAGGACUGGAGAGGAGAUUGGAAUUCACGGUGUAGCAGUGAAAUGCGUAGAUAUCGUGAGGAAGACCAGUGGCGAAGGCGGAUCUCUGGACAGUUCCUGACGCUGAGGCGCGAAGGCCAGGGGAGCAAACGGG
rnacentral:rRNA from 1 species